GGGGAUUUAGCUCAGUGGUAGAGCGCUUGCCUAGAGCGCAAGGCCCUGGGUUCGGUCCCCAGCUCCG
rfam:Rattus norvegicus chromosome 4, whole genome shotgun sequence.